rnacentral:rRNA from 1 species
UACGGAGGGGGCUAGCGUUGUUCGGAAUUACUGGGCGUAAAGCGCGCGUAGGCGGACCUGCAAGUCGGGGGUGAAAGCCCGAGGCUCAACCUCGGAACUGCCUUCGAUACUGCGGGUCUCGAGUCCGGGAGAGGUGAGUGGAAUUCCCAGUGUAGCGGUGAAAUGCGUAGAUAUUGGGAGGAACACCAGUGGCGAAGGCGGCUCACUGGACCGGAACUGACGCUGAGGCGCGAAAGCGUGGGGAGCAAACGGG